AGCGAACGCUGGCGGCAGGCUUAACACAUGCAAGUCGAGCGGACACUUUCGGGUGUCAGCGGCGGACGGGUGAGUAACGCGUGGGAACGUGCCCUCUGGUUCGGAAUAACUCAGGGAAACUUGAGCUAAUACCGGAUACGCCCUUUUGGGGAAAGGCUUGCUGCCGGAGGAUCGGCCCGCGUCUGAUUAGCUAGUUGGUGAGGUAACGGCUCACCAAGGCGACGAUCAGUAGCUGGUCUGAGAGGAUGAUCAGCCACACUGGGACUGAGACACGGCCCAGACCUCCACGGGAGGCAGGAGGGGGGGAUAUUGGAACAAGGGCGGAAGGCUGAUCCAGCCAUGCCGCGUGAGGGAUGAAGGCCUUAGGGUUGUAAAGCUCUUUUAUCCGGGAAGAUAAUGACGGUACCGGAGGAAUAAGCCCCGGCUAACUUCGUG
rnacentral:rRNA from 1 species